UUUGAAAUCUGGCCCCCAGGGUCCGAGUUGUAAUUUGUAGAGGAUGCUUUGGGCGAGGUGCCUUCCGAGUUCCCUGGAACGGGACGCCACAGAGGGUGAGAGCCCCGUAUGGUCGGACACCGAGCCUCUGUAAAGCUCCUUCGACGAGUCGAGUAGUUUGGGAAUGCUGCUCAAAAUGGGAGGUAUAUGUCUUCUAAAGCUAAAUAUUGGCCAGAGACCGAUAGCGCACAAGUAGAGUGAUCGAAAGAUGAAAAGCACUUUGAAAAGAGGGUUAAAAAGUACGUGAAAUUGUUGAAAGGGAAGCGCCCAUGACCAGACUUGGGCCCGGUGAAUCAUCCGGCGUUCUCGCCGGUGCACUUUGCCGGGCACAGGCCAGCAUCAGUUUGGGGCGGGGGACAAAGGCUCUGGGAAUGUGGCUCCCUCGGGAGUGUUAUAGCCCACCGCGUAAUACCCUGCGCCGGACUGAGGUACGCGCAUUCGCAAGGAUGCUGGCGUAAUGGUCAUCAGCGACCCGUCUUGAAACACGGACCAAGGAGUCGUCUUCGUAUGCGAGUGUUCGGGUGUCAAACCCCUACGCGGAAUGAAAGUGAACGCAGGUGAGAGCUUCGGCGCAUCAUCGACCGAUCCUGAUGUCUUCGGAUGGAUUUGAGUAAGAGCAUACGGGGCCGGACCCGAAAGAAGGUGAACUAUGCCUGUAUAGGGUGAAGCCAGAGGAAACUCUGGUGGAGGCUCGCAGCGGUUCUGACGUGCGAAUCGAUCGUCAAAUAUGGGCAUGGGGGCGAAAGACUAAUCGAACCUUCUAGUAGCUGGUUUC
rnacentral:rRNA from 1 species